rnacentral:tRNA from 1 species
UAGGAUGAGGUGUACUGGUAGCACGGAGAAUUUUGAAUUCUUAGGUGUAGGUUCGACUCCUAUUAUCCUAG